CCCUUCUUGUACAGAACGUCUGUGUUUGUUGACCAGUCCAGUUUGUUGUUGAGGUGGACACCCAGGAAUCUGUAGGACUCCACCAUCUCGAUGUCCAGACCCUGUAUGUUCACUGGAACUGUUUGAGGUGUCCCCCUCCUGCGGAAAUCCACAACCAUAAUUCAGACUAUAUGACAGCCUCUCAUUGGAUUCUUGCUCACCAUGUUGGGAUGACCACCUACUCUCAUAUAACCUUUACCUGUUCUUAUUUUCUCUACAGUAACACCAAUCUACACACUCCCAGGUGCUCAAAGUAAAGACCACCCAGUGUGUGUGUGACAGAAGUUUUGUGUAAAACAAAAAGCAAGAUAUAAAGGUCUGUACCAUUAAGUGUAUCCAUAGAAAUCCAUUUAUGCAAGACUGUGUGCAGAGUGUGUAGAGUUUCCAUUUGCAUAACUUAUUUAUAACAGCAUAGUGUUACAGGCAGCCUGAACACAGACAUUUUCACAGCAGAAUCCCUCUCCCUGACCCACUUCUGUCUAAAACAAAUUGCUACUAAGACCUAGUCUACAUCUAACCCUUCGCAAUAGUUGCCUAUGAACUGUGAGAGCAACGGCCAGUGUAUAUUACUUUACUUUGCAUCUUCUCAAGUGAACUUAACAAUAUGGAGACCUAUAAAUGGAUCAACACUCCCUUGGUCUGAGUGCAGACCAACCAAAGAAAAUAAGGAGUGGGUGGUGUUGUAACUCUUCAGUUUCAGGUCUAUUAGAGAGCUGUGUUUAUUUAUAAUGCCAGCUCUGUUUCCUUGUUACUGCCUCAGUCUUCAGAUCCAGGCCAAAAGUUUGUGUAAGCCAAAAAGGAUCAAUAUUAUAUCAAAGAAGUCUUGUUGGUAGAGUAACAAUCCUACAGAUCAAAAUCCUGAGCAGAACCUGCAUGUAUUUGUCAUUCUAUCCUUAGGCUUUAUAAAAUAAAAACCUAGUCUCUAUUAUGUCAUAAAUUAGUUUCUGAAGUGGAGUUUUAAAGCAUUUCGACAGCAGUGGCCACACUGAAAACACCCACUAAACCUAAUGCCAAACUUGUACUUGUUAUUUUGGUGGAAGCAAAACUAAUACUCUGAAUCAUUUGAAAGACAAAUAUGGUACUUUUGUGUGGUGAGACGCCUCCUCCUUUUGUUUUAUUUUGGCUGGACUUCCUGUGUUUCCGUGUUUGCCUGGUCUGGCUUUACUUUCUUCCAGAGCUUCCUCCCCUCCCCUGGUUGCUGAGGCUGAGUGAGACUACACACCUGCUCUUCAUCUACAAUCAAGGCACUUUAAGAAGCCAGCAGCCCUCAGUCUCAGCACCUGAGUAUUGUCUUCACUUCCAAGUGGUAUAGACGUGUCUCCUGGCCUCCUUCCUUUGAAAUUAGUAUUCGUAAUUCUGCUCCAGAUUCAUUGUAUGUUCACUCACUUCCCUCUCCUCUUUUUUUCCUGCAGUGUCUCCAGCCCACACGACAGUCAGCCAACGAGCCUACCGGACUUCCUCUUUCUUGCCUUUAAACCUGAGUUUGGACAUUAAAAUUACACCUAAAGUUGAUCUCUGUCUCUGUGUCUCUGUGUCUGCUUCUGGGUCCUCACAACUCACCAGUCACGCCACAGAAUACUCAGGCCAGGAUAAUGGACCCAGCAAACCCGGAUAGGUUUCAGCAAGCUGUCCAGAAGUGGGUGGGGGGAACUAGAAUUAAAGGGGAUAUUCACUCGUGGUCUGUCCGAACAGCUUAAAGACGAGCUUGCAGCUCGGGAUGAGCCCUCCUCCCUUGAGGAGCUAAUCACAUUAGCCAUUAGGAUGGACAAUCGCCUCAGGGAGAGACGGAGGGAGAAGAAAGCACAUUCCCCUGCACAUAGCAUAGACUCCCCAUCCUCUGUUGCGGUCAGCGGGUCUCCUCUGCAGCCCUCAGUCUUUCCGGAUCCGGCGCCCUCUGCCGAGGAACCCAUGCAAAUUGGCCGCACCAAAUUACAUCCCGAUGAACAGAGACGAAGGAUAGAGCAGAAGCUCUGUGUGUAUUGUGGCCAGGCCAGCCACUUUCUGCCCAACUGUCCUAAUAAGUUAAACGGCCAGGCUCAUCAGUGACAGAGGGCACCCUGAUGAGCCACACCUCCUCUGUUCCUAGCUCUCCUAGACGCAUCUCGGUACCUGCUUGUCUCCUGUGGGGAAAAGAAUCCACUUCCCUCCAAACCCUCAUUGACUCUGGGGUGGAUGACAAAUUCAUUCACGCCGGACUGGCAGUGCGGCUUCAGCUCCCCCUGGAGGUACUCCCAGUUCCCCGUAAGGUCACCGCUCUCGAUGGCAGGGUUAUAGCCACCAUAACCCACUGCACUGCUCCUCUCACCCUCAUCCUGUCGGGAAACCAUCGGGAGGACACCCGGUUGUUCCUGCUUCCCUCUCCACACUCACCCCUGGUGCUGGGACUCCCUUGGCUGCAGAUCCACAACCCCCAAAUGAACUGGUCCACAUCUUCGAUCUACGCUUGGAGUCCUCACUGUCACUCCCACUGCCUCCGCUCCGCCAAUCCCUACAUCCACUUACAGAGGCCAGCAUCUCCACCGCCAUCUCUCACCUCGGUUCCCCCCCAUUUACCAUGAUCUGGCCAUGGUGUUCAGUAAGGAGCAGUCUCUCGUCCUUCCUCCUCAUCGCCCAUAUGACUGCGCCAUAGAUUUGCUCCCUGACGCCCCUCUCCCCAGUAGCAGACUGUAUCUCUCGGCCCGAACGAGAGGCCAUGGAGGAAUACAUCCAGGACUCCUUGACAUCUGGACUCAUCCGGCCCUCAACCUCUCCCCUUGCCGCUGGUUUCUUCUUUGUGAAGAAAAAAGAUUCCUCUCUCCAUCCCUGCAUCGACUUUCGCGGACUCAAUGAGACCACCAUAAAAAACAAAUAUCCCCUGCCACUCAUCGAUCCCUCCUUUGAACCUCUCUGCAAGGCCACCAUCUUUUCCAAACUGGACCUCCGGAAUGCCUAUCACCUGGUUCACAUCAGGGAGGGGGACGAGUGGAAGACGGCCUUCAAUACACCCAUGGGCCACUUCGAGUACCUCGUCAUGCCCUUUGGCCUCACCAAUGCCCACGUUGUGUUCCAGGCUCUCAUUAAUGACAUCCUCUGUGACAUGAACAACCAAUUCGCCUUCGUCUAUCUGGACGAUAUCCUGAUCAUCUCCCGCCACCUGGAAGAACACCAGCAGCACGUUCGACUCGUCCUCCAGCGCCUCCUCGAAAACCGCCUUUUCGUCAAACCCGAGAAGGGAAAGUUCCACGCCUCCUCCGUCAGUUUCCUUGGAUACAUCAUCGCCCAGGGGGAGCUACGCCCAGACCCAGAGAAAGUCUGUGCCGUCCGUGACUGGCCCACUCCCUCCUCCUGCAAAGACCUCCAGUGAUUCCUCGGCUUCGCCAACUUCUACCGGCGCUUCAUCAGAAACUACAGCAAGGUGGCUGUGCCCCUUACCCGUCUCACAUCCCUCAAGGUCCCGUUCUCCUGGACCCCCGAAGCAGACGCCACCUUCUGUCAGCUCAAGUCCCUCUUCAUCUCCGCCCUGGUGCUCAAACACCCGGAUCCCUCUCUUCAGUUCGUGGUGUAGGUCGAUGCUUCGGACUCUGGAGUGGGGGCCGUCCUCUCACAGAAGGAUUCUGAGACCCGGAAGCUCCAUCCUUGCGCCUACUUCUCCUGGAAACUCUCACCCACUGAACGAAACUACGACGUGGGAAACCGUGAGUUGCUGGCUGUCGUGUGGGCACUACAAGAAUGGAGACACUGGCUGGAAGGAGCACAACAACCUUUUCUCAUCUGGACUGACCACAAGAACCUGCAAUACCUCCGCUCCGCUCGACGCCUCAACUCCAGGCAAGCCCGCUGGUCCCUCUUCCUCAGUAGAUUCAGCUUCACCCUCUCCUAUCGUCCAGGCUCCCGCAAUCUCAAACCAGACACCCUAUCUCGGAUCCAUUCCUCGGCUACCUUGGACCCCAGCGAACCAGACACCAUCCUCCCUGCCUCCUGUGUCGUCGGCUCCGCCUCUUGGGAGAUCGACACCAUCGUGGACCAGGCCCUCCGGAACCACCCAGACCCGGGAACUGGCCCGCCUGACAGAAAAUUUGUCCCUGAGGUUGCACGUUCCCAGGUCCUACAGUGGGAGCACUCCUCCAAACUCACCUGUCACCCCGGGUUUCAACGCACCCUCCAAUUCCUCCAGCAGCAGUUCUGGUGGCCGGGAAUGGUCCGGGACGUACGGGCGUUUGUUGCUGCCUGCUCCGUCUGUGCCCGAGGCAAAGUCUCCCACCAACCUCCGGCUGGCUUGCUGCGUCCCCUUCCUGUGCUCUCACGCCCCUGGUCUCACAUAGCCCUAGAUAUCGUCACUGGUCUCCCUCCUUCUGAAGGUAACACAGUCAUACUCACCAUGAUUGACAGAUUUUCCAAAUUUGUGCAUUAUGUCCCGUUACCCAAGCUCCCGUCUGCUUUAGAAACUGCUAACCUCCUGGUAUCUCAUGUGUUCCAACUACAUGGUAUCCCCCUUGACAUAGUGUCAGAUCGUGGUCCCCAGUUCUCCUGUCAGGUCUGGAAAGCUUUCUGCCAGGCAGUGGGCGCAGCAGCUAGCCUCUCCUCGGGUUACCACCCGCAGACCAACGGCCAGACGGAGUGGGCCAAUCAAAACCUUAAGUCGGCCCUGUGGUGUGUGGCGGCCCAUCAUCCAGCGUCCUGGAGUACGCACCUCCCAUGGAUCCAAUACGCCCAUAACUCCCUCACCUCUUCGGCCACAGGUAUGUCUCCCUUCAUGUGCUGUUUUGGUUACCAGCCCCCCCUGUUUCCCGAACAGGAGCACCCGGUGGCCGUCUCGUCAGUGAGGGAGCACAUUGGGCAUCUACGGGAGGUGUGGAGAUCCGCCAGGGCCGCACUCACCCGCACGGCCGAGCGCAACAAACGCCUGGCUGUUGUUACCGCUCUCCAGCACCAGACUAUCGUCCCAGUCAGAUGGUCUGGUUAUCGUCCCGUGACCUUCCCCUGCAGACAGAGUCCCGCAAGCUGUCCCCCGGCUUCAUUGGUCCCUUUCCUAUCCAGAAAAUCAUCAACCCUUCAGUGGUAAGAAUAAAAAUUCCUUCAACCCUCAAAAUUCACCCCACAUUUCAUGUCUCCCUGAUAAAGCCUGUCACCUCAUCAGGCAUGAAAAUGGGUCAGGGGUUGAAAAGGUGAGAAG
rnacentral:lncRNA from 1 species